UAGGUGAGAGUCUGGUAGUUAAAAGUCAAUGUACAAAUGCACACCCCCAUCGAAAGUGUUUUUUUUUAAGUGUUAUGAUGACCCGUUACAUAGAGAUUAAAGUUAGGAAAUUAAGUUCCAAACAAAACAUUUUUAUAUUUUAUUUCGAUUCCGAACGUUAUUUGAAGUAUUUCUGCAUUAUAUCAUGCAUCGAAAUUUUGCAUAAAUAAUUUUUAAUUCAGUAAAGUACGUGAAAAAUUAAGAAAAUAAGCGAAGUCAGAAACCUUCUUCAACAUGCGUGCAUAGCGCGCCAUCUUUUUAUUCAGUCGAAAUUGCGAAAAUUUACAUGUGAAAGAAUCGGGAUAUUUAGCAAAGAUAUAAACAAAAUGUCCUUCUUCAUUUGGCAAAUGACCCUUCUCCAUCGGGUUGUACAUGUUAUGAACACAAAAUCAGCUUUAUAAAAAAAACUAAAAACAUUUUUGUUAUACUCUAGAAUGAUUUUUUGCUCAUAAUAACGCUCUAAAUCGAAAUAAAAUCGUUGUUUAGAACUCAAUUGCGAAAUUUUUAAAUUUACUUGCAUCACUUCACAAGGGGACAUACAAAAAUAACGUCCGUAAUUCAGCGUUGCCAUAAAUUUUUAACAUAUUUAUUCCAUUUAUGUAUUUCGGAGGUGUUAAAUGUAUAAUCGACCCUCCAAAUACCCCAUUAAAAUAGGUUGUAUACAGCAAAAUUUAACUGACUAAAAUGCAUACUUUUUGAGUUCCAACUUUUUUGGCAACACUGAAUUGCGGACGUCGAUUUUGUAAUAUAUUCCAAACAAUUGUACAAUGCAACAGAAUAAAGUUUUUGGUUUUUUCCUGGAUUGUUUUUUUUUAAUAGUCAAGACCCAAGGGUCGGAAUUUGUUUUUUCUUUUAGUUUUAUUAUUACUGCCUAAUGAAAGUGAACGACGGUACCUCGUAACAAAUAAAAACUCAAAAUUUAUCAAAGACUCAUUCUUAAAACAAUUUUUGAUUGAACGAAAAAUACUCCAAAGAUCUGAGUUGGCGACCGGUUGCCGAAAUGUCCGUAAAAUUAAUCAUCACACUAACAAAUCUCCACAAAGAAAGGUUCUCUCUACGAUGAGACUGUGGUUCACGUCCAGCAUCAGAAAUUUACUCCACAUCUUCUUCUAUCUUGUACAACAGUUGUUGCAUUCCAACAGUUCCAUUUCUUUCAGAAUUUUAGCAAGCGAAAAACAGAAAAUCUCGUUAAUCUUUCUAAAUUGUUUCAUGUGUACAGGGGCCAUAAUUAUCAAAAUCUACCGGAAAUUUACCGACACAACUUUUCGGUAAAUUUUUGGGAGAUUUAGGUAAAUUUCGAUAAUUUUCAGUAAUUUCGGUACACGAAAUUACCAAUUAGCCGCAGUAUCAACAUUUUGUUUGGCUUGUAUUACGGACUCGACAGCUUCGUGGUCGUUAGCCUUCAGAAUUCUUUUUUUUAAAUUUCGUUGCUCAAAUAUCUUAUUCUAGUGUGGAAAGCGUCAAUGUUCAGUUUCAAAAAAGUGUGAGAAUUACUUAUUUAUCUGUUGCAUAAAUGAUAGCUUGUUGUGGAAUUAAUUCUACCACAUAAAAAGGAAGAAAAAAAAGUUUCUCGAUUUUAAGCUUCACUUAAACGAACUUAGAAUGUGGACGGUUGCAGUAAUUACACUAAAAAAUUAACGAUCAAACAAAUCGAUAAAAACGUUGUGACCGACUUGUGUUUAACGAAAAAAAAAGAACGAUGAAGAAAACAUAGGAAGAAGAAAACUAAAGGAAAAAUCAAGUAUAAUUGACGUAUUUUUGCAAUAUAUCGUUUAGUAACAAUAAUUGUGAUAAAAUUUGGGAUUAAAUACAUUCGAAAGAUAAAGAAGACGGAGGAAGAGAGGAAGUAUUGGUCUUACAAUAAAAGGAGAAAAAUAUAAUUAACACAAACAAAACAAACAAAGAAAAUUCUAAGGGUGAAUUAAUUGUAAACGUACAUAUGUAACAUUUUAGUAAUUAAUAUAAAACUUAUAUAGCAGA